rnacentral:rRNA from 1 species
UACGGAGGGUGCGAGCGUUGUCCGGAAUCACUGGGCGUAAAGGGCGCGUAGGCGGCGCGGGGAGUCAACGGUGAAAGCUCGGCGCUCAACGCCGAGUCGGCCGUCGAUACUCCCGUGCUCGAGCACUGUAGAGGCAGGUGGAAUUCCGGGUGUAGCGGUGGAAUGCGUAGAGAUCCGGAAGAACACCCGUGGCUAAGGCGGCUCUCUAGUACGGUACUGACGCUGAGACGCGAAAGCGUGGGGAGCGAACAGG